AUUGAACGCUGGCGGUAUGCUUAACACAUGCAAGUCGAACGGUAACAUUUCUAGCUUGCUAGAAGAUGACGAGUGGCGGACGGGUGAGUAACGCGUAGGGAUCUACCCAGCUGCGGGGGAUAGCCCGGUGAAAACCGGAUUAAUACCGCAUACGACCUUCGGGUGAAAGGUUGCCUCUCCUUGGAAGCAAUCACAGUUGGAUGAACCUGCGUCAGAUUAGCUAGUUGGUGGGGUAAAGGCCUACCAAGGCGACGAUCUGUAGCUGGUCUGAGA
rnacentral:rRNA from 1 species